rnacentral:lncRNA from 10 species
CACAGGCCUCUGGUGCCUUCUUGCCCACAAAGAAACUGAGGCAGGAAGCCACAACCAGCCUCUAGAAGCCCAGGACUCCCCCACAUCACUCCCUGUUGUGUGGUUGUGGUCGGGGGUACUUCAAUCACUGUGACCAGGGGACCAAGAGAUUUUCCGGCUGAGGGUGAUGGGGGUUUCUCUGAAUCAAGAAAAUUUCUAAUGAAUGGCUGAGCCUGGGUCAUUAGUUAUUCAGUGUCCGGGGAACUGAAUGGGCCUCUGCCCCAUGCCCAGUAUGCUGUUUCCCAAGGCUGGGCUGCAGGCACAGAGUCUGAGGGGCUGCUGCCUCCAGUGCAGUGGGCACUACCAGCUGUCUGCCCUCCCAGGGCCAGCUCCAUGGAGGGAGGAGCAGGGCUGGCUGGACCCCCUCUCCCAAGCUGUGGCAGUGCCUGGAGUUUCACCAUCGCGCAGGGAGAACACAAGGUCGUCUCCAGGGUCCGAGACUUCCCUCGCUGGGUUCAGGCUGGUUUCAGGCUGUCCCAGGUAGCUGGAGGGAAGGGCCAGGGGUCAGGGCUCUUCGCGUGCCUCAAUGCUGGACGCUCCCCUGUUCUUCCUGUCGGUGUUCACAGGCGGCUGUUCAGGGUCCCAGAUGUGGAAGGGUGAGGCCCAGAACAUGAUGGGCUUGGGCAGCUAGGAAUGGAAAGAUGGAUAGAGGGAUGGGUGGGUGGAUAAAUGGAUGGAUGGAGAGGUGGAUACAGGAAUGGAUAGAAGGAUGGAUGGAUGGAUGAAUAGAGGAGUGGGUGGGUGGAUACAGGGAUGAAUGGAUAGAGAUGGAUGGGUGGAUGGUGAAUAGAGGAGUGGAAGGGCAGAUAGAGAGAUAGAUGGAUGGGUGGAUAGAGAGAUGGGUGGAUGGAGGGUGGAGGGGUGGAUAGAGGAAUGGAUGGGUGGAGGGAGGAUGGAGGGGUGGGUGGAUGGGUGGAUAGAGGAGUGGAUGGGUGGAUAGAGUGGUGGAUGGAGAUGGUUGGUUGGGUGGAUGGAUGGAUGCCUGGGGGGUGGGUGGAGGAGUGGAUAGAGAAGUGGAUGGGUGGAUAGAGUGGUGGGUGGAUGGAUGGAGGGGUGGGUGGAGGGGUGGAUAGAGGAGUGGAAGGGCAGAUAGAGGGAUAGAUGGAUGUGUGGAUAGAGAGAUGGUGGAUGGAAGAUGGAGGGGUGGGUGGAGGGGUGGAUAGAGAAGUGGAUGGGUGCAUAGAGUGGUGGGUGGAUGGAUGGAGGGGUGGGUGGAGGGGUGGAUAGAGGAGUGGAAGGGCAGAUAGAGGGAUAGAUGGGUGGAUAGACGGGUGGAUGGAGGAUGGAGGGGUGGGUAGAGGGGUGGAUAGAGAAGCGGUUGGGUGGAUAGAGUGGUGGGUGGAUGGAUGGAGGGGUGAGUGGAGGGGUGAAUAGAGGAGUGGAAGGGCAGAUAGAGGGAUUGAUGGAUGUGUGGAUAGAGAGAUGGGUGGAUGGAGGAUGGAGGGUUGGGUGGAGGGGUGGAUAGAGGAGUGGGUGGGUGGAUAGAAGGAUGGAUAGAGAUGGAUGGAUGGGUGGAUGGAUGGAUGAUGGAGGGGUGGGCGGAGGGGUGGAGAGAGGAGUGAAUGGGUGGAUAGAAGGAUGGAUAGAGAUGGGUGGAUGGAUGGAUGAUGGAGGGGUGGGUGGAGGGGUGGAGAGAGGAGGGGAUGGGUGGAUAGAAGGAUGGAUAGAGAUGGAUGGAUGGGUGGAGGGGUGGAGAGGAGUGGAUGGGUGGAUAGAAGGAUGGAUAGAGAUGGAUGGAUGGGUGGAUGGAUGGAUGCCUGGGGGAUGGGUGGAGGGGUGGAUAGAGGAAUGGAUAGGUGGAUAGAGGGGAGGAUGGAUAGAAAUGGAUAGAUGGAUGGCUGGAGGGGGGGAUGGGGGUUGAUGGGGGAUGGAUGGAUGGAUAGAGGGAUCGAAGGAUAGAGAUGGAUGGAUGGGUAGAUGGUGGGUGAAGGGGUGGAUAGAGGAGUGGAAGGGUGUAUAGAGAGAUGGAUGGGUAGAUGCAGAGAUGUGUGAAGGAACAAGUACAGUAAAUUGUUAACUAGAAUUCAAGUGGUGAGUGGGGUUACACUGUGUGAUUCUUUUCAUGUUGCUAUAUGUUUAAAAAUAUGCAAUGUUGGGGAAAUUAUAGACAAGACUUUUACACACACACACACACACACACACACACACACACACGUAUGUACACUGCUAAAUAACAUAAGCUAAAGAAGGGAUCAUAAUAGAAACCUUAAAAACCCAGAACUGGGCCGGGCGUGGUGGC